UAUAAAGAACAUGUAUAAUAAUAUAAAAUCUUGUGUUUUUGUUAAUCAGAAACUUUCAGAUUACUUUGUCAGUUACACUGGAGUUAGACAAGAAGAAAAUUUAUCACCACUUUUGUUCUCUUUUUAUGUGAAUGACAUUGAAGAUCAUUUGUUAAGAAACAAUUGUAAUUAUGUCAGUAUUGUAGAUGAAUGGGUUGAUGAUUUGAUGCAGAUUCUUAUAUCAUAUUAAUGUAUGCGUGUAAUAUGAUUCUCAUCAUAUUAGAAUUAUAAUGUCAUUGUUGGCACCUUUGAAUGUGGAGCGGGCAGUGUGUGUCGCUGUCAUUGGUUGGAAAGAGGUGUAGACACGGGUUGUAUUCCAGUUACUGUAUAAUUGUUAUUGGCAUAUAUGACAAGAAUUGUAAUUAUUAUUGAGAUACAUAUAUUGUUUUCUUACUUAUUAACAAGUUUGGUAUUGGUUAGUAAUGUGUAUUUGUUUGUCAAGAGGAAGUUUUCUUUUAGGGUCUGUGUAUGUAACACGGAUAUAUAUUAUACCGCACUCAGGUUGUAGGGGUAAGGUAGGCAGAGGUACAGUUGGUGCCUGUCAGGGGUGAGUGGCGGUUGUUUGACUGAGGUGAGUUUUGUGAUAACAUUAUUUCUCUGAUUUGUUUGACUUAUGUUAUGCCGCUGAUUGUGCAUAUUGGUUGGUGUUAUAUUAAAUGCGGUGCUGAUAGGAGGAUUUGAUUAAGUGUAACUUUGCAGCAUAGUUGGGGUAAUGCUGUAAUCAGACAUGUGGUGAAGUCUGCCUUGGCUGAUGAUGGGCGGUCAUUUUGCUGAAUCAAUCAAUAAAUCAAGAUACAGCAAGUCA